rnacentral:misc_RNA from 1 species
GAUGAAGAACGUAGCGAAAUGCGAUAAGUAAUGUGAAUUGCAGAAUUCAGUGAAUCAUCGAAUCUUUGAACGCACAUUGCGCCCGCUAGUAUUCUGGCGGGCAUGCCUGUCCGAGCGUCAUUUCAACCCUCAAGCCCCUCCGGGGGCCUGGCGUUGGGGAUCGGCCCCGCUCCGGCGGCCGGCCCCGAAAUGUAGUGGCGGUCUCGCCGCUGCCUCCUCUGCGUAGUAGAAACACCUCGCAUUGGGACGCGGCGGGCCCACGCCGUUAACCAGAUGAAUUUUUUCAAGGUUGACCUCGGAUCAGGUAGGAAUACCCGCUGAACUUAAGCAUAUCAAUAACGGAGGA